GGAGUUGUGGCUCAGUGGUAGAGUGCUUGCCUGGCAUGUGUGAGGCCCUGGGUUCAAUCCUCAGCACCG
rnacentral:tRNA from 1 species